rnacentral:rRNA from 1 species
CACGUAGGGUGCGAGCGUUGUCCGGAAUUAUUGGGCGUAAAGAGCUCGUAGGCGGUGUGUCGCGUCGGCCGUGAAAACCUGCAGCUUAACUGUGGGCUUGCGGUCGAUACGGGCAUCACUGGAGUUCGGCAGGGGAGACUGGAAUUCCUGGUGUAGCGGUGAAAUGCGCAGAUAUCAGGAGGAACACCGGUGGCGAAGGCGGUUCUCUGGGCCUGACCUGACGCUGAGGAGCGAAAGCGUGGGGAGCAAACAGG